GGCACGCAAUCAUUCUAAAACCGGCCCAAUAUUGAGGAUUCGAUUAUUACAAAUUUAAAUUGAAGCGACUAAAUUUAUAGGAAGGAAUUUAUGCGUAGUUUUCUUGUUAAAAUUAACGAAUAAUGUGAAAUAGAAAUUGUUAAAAGAUUACGACAACGUUUAUAUAGAUAAAUGGGCUUACAUCUUAUUACACAGUCACCAUGAAUUCUGUAACUAAGACGAUUUUACUCUUUCACUUUUUUCUAAGUGUAAUCGUUGCUAUCGAUGUAACAUGUGACAGCGUUAAUCCUUUGAUACAAUCUGAUGUGACAUGCGUAUGCAAGAACGCACCGGGAACAGAUAUAGACUGGUUGGUUGAUGAUGAAUUCAACUCAAACUGUGGACUGUCCAAAGAAUGUCUACCUAUAUACAGUGGUUACAAUUACUCUAUCAACACGACUGGAAACGUUUAUAUGAUGACUAUAAAUUUAUAUAAUUAUAGUAAUUGUUCAAAGGUAACAUGUAAAGAUACAAGUGAUGGUAGCAUUAAGCAGUCGAUUAUCCCUUCGU